ensembl:lncRNA
GUGUGAAGUGGGGUUCCUUCACGCGGAAAACGCGGAAUUUUUGGGUGAAAGGUGGUAUGUUCAGGGAGAAAAUGUGCGAUUUUCCUUUGAAACGUAGAAUUUUCGGGAAAAAAUGCGUGGUUCUUGGGAGAAAUGGGGUUGCUUCGCGCAGAAAAUGCGUGAUUUUGGGGGGAAAGGUGGUAUUUUCGGGGAGAAAAUGAGUGAUUUUCCUUUGAAAGGUGGUAUUUUCGGGAAGAAAAUGUGUGAUUUUUGGGUGAAACGUGGUGUAUUUGCGGUAGAAAGGUGUUAUUUUCCGGCGAGAAGUGGUAUUUUCGGGAAGAAAAUGUGGGAAUUUUCAAGGGAAAAGUGGUAUUUUUCGUGUGGCAAUGCGUGCUUUUCGAGAGAAAGGUGGUAUUUUUGGAGAGAAAAUGCGUGAUUUUGGGGUGAAAGGUGGAAUUUUCGUGGAGAAAACGCGUGAUUUCUUUUUAAAAAGUUGCAUUUUUGGGAAAAAAAGCGUGAUUUUGUGUUGAAAUGCGGUAUUUUUGAAGUGAACCUACGUGAUUCUCGUGCGAAAAAUGGUAUUUUUAUGGUAAAAAUGGGUGUUUUGGGGGUAAAAUUUUCUAAGAGAAAAUGCUUGCUUUUUGGGCGAAAAGUGACGUUUUUGAGGUGUAAAUGCGUGAUUUCCGGGCAAAAUAUUGGUAUUUUUGGGUAGAAAAUGCGUGAUUUUCAGGCAAAAGCGUUUUUUUCGAAGAGAAUUCUCGCGGGGGGAGCACCGCGUAUGCGUGGAUUUGCGAUCGCACUGCGCAUGCGCGGACCUGCGCUCAGGGUAUUUUCGAGGAGACAGUGCGAGAUUUUCUGGGGAAAUGGGGUAUUUUCGAAGUGAACAUGCGUGAUUCUCAGGCGAAAGAUGGUAUUUUCAAGGAGAAAACACGUGUUUUUCGGUUGAAGAGGGUGAUUUUCCCGAAGGAAAUGCUUUUCGCGCGAAAAGUGGCAUUUGUGGGGUGUAAAUGCGGGAUUUUCAGGAGAAAAGUGGUAUUUUCGGGUACAAGAUGCGUGACUUGUGGACAGAGGUGCUUUAUUUCUGGGGGAAAAUGCGUGAUUUUCGGGCGAAAACUUGUGUUUUCGGCGGGACAGUGCGUGAUUUUCGUUAGAAAAGUGGUAUUUUCCGGU